rnacentral:rRNA from 1 species
UACAGAGGUCUCAAGCGUUGUUCGGAUUCAUUGGGCGUAAAGGGUCCGUAGGUGGCUUGCUAAGUCAGACGUGAAAUCCCUCGGCUUAACCGGGGAACUGCGUCUGAGACUGGCGAGCUUGAGUGCAGGAGAGGAACGCGGAAUUCCAGGUGUAGCGGUGAAAUGCGUAGAUAUCUGGAGGAACACCGGUGGCGAAGGCGGCGUUCUGGACUGCAACUGACACUGAAAGACGAAAGCCAGGGGAGCAAACGGG